CCGUACAUACAAAAACAUUGAAACAAGAACAUAUGAAACGGAGGGUAGCAGCGGGAACCUAUUAAAACUCUCAUUUGACAAGCCAAGAAUCCAGAAACGACGAAAUACUAAGAACAUAUGUAUGUCUUUCUGCCAGACAUUUUGUCGAAUACACGGAGGGCGUUGGCUAAAUGAAAGCUUCAUAUUUAUUAGAGACACGAAAUUAGACUAGAAUCAGCAAGCGAGGUUCGACUUCGAUGCGGAAACAACUGAUUAUACUAAGUGCAAACAAAAUAAC
rnacentral:lncRNA from 1 species